GUCGCUUCUCUGCCUUUUGGCUAAGAUCAAGUGUAGUAUUUGUUCUUAUCAGGAGGGGUGCUAAAGCCUCUUCUGGUUAGACGGAGAAACACUUGAUCCUCUGGCUAGGGGCCAAAGCAUCAUGGAAGCCCAA
rnacentral:snRNA from 1 species